UCUCCAAGGGUCUGAUACAGGUGAGAAUUUGUACACUUUCAACAAUGGUAGACAAGUCUUUUCUGGAGAAAUUCGUCUGGAAGUACGAAGAAGAAGUUGCUGAACUAAUGAAGGUAUCACAAUGCCAACUUAAUCACCAACACCUACUUCAGAACUGAAAGAUUUGAUGAGAUGAAUACACGAUUGCUGUGUCAUCUGUUUGACUGCUUUGAUUUCUGAGGAGUUCAAGGUUGUUAAUGCCGAGGAUUUGAACUCUGUAUCAGAUAUUAACUUGAAGCUUUUAUUUGAAGAGCUACUGGAAAGGAUCUAGGAGAAAGAUGAGGAGGAGGCUAAAAAGUGUCAACGUCUAAAUGUUGACUUCUCUGAUCUAUCACGCUCGAUUAAGACAUCUUCAAAUUGGGAGGACUGCUUGCCACUUUUAGAGGACAUCCAAGAGUAUAGAUCCACUGCACAAGAGAGUGAGAAGAAAGACAUACUUGAGGACUACUUACACAUUUGCAAGAAAAGGCUAAAGCAAAGGGACGGAAAUGCGAG